rnacentral:rRNA from 1 species
UACGAAGGGGGCUAGCGUUGUUCGGAAUUACUGGGCGUAAAGCGCACGUAGGCGGCGAUUUAAGUCAGAGGUGAAAGCCCGGGGCUCAACCCCGGAACAGCCUUUGAGACUGGAUUGCUUGAACAUCGGAGAGGUGAGUGGGAUUCCGAGUGUAGAGGUGAAAUUCGUAGAUAUUCGGAAGAACACCAGUGGCGAAGGCGGCUCACUGGACGAUUGUUGACGCUGAGGUGCGAAAGCGUGGGGAGCAAACAGG